rnacentral:rRNA from 1 species
AGCGAACGCUGGCGGCAGGCCUAACACAUGCAAGUCGAACGAACUCUUCGGAGUUAGUGGCGGACGGGGGAGUAACACGUGGGAACGUGCCUUUUGGUUCGGAAUAACUCAGGGAAACUUGUGCUAAUACCGAAUGUGCCCUUCGGGGGAAAGAUUUAUCGCCAUUAGAGCGGCCCGCGUCUGAUUAGCUAGUUGGUGAGGUAACGGCUCACCAAGGCGACGAUCAGUAGCUGGUCUGAGAGGGUGACCAGCCACACUGGGACGAGGACACGGCCCAGAAUCCUACGGGAGGCAGCAGUGGGGAAUCUUGCGAAAUGGGCGAAAGCCUGACGCAGCCAUGCCGCGUGAAUGAUGAAGGUCUUAGGAUUGUAAAAUUCUUUCACCGGGGACGAUAAUGACAGUACCCGGAGAAGAAGCCCCGGCUAACUUCGUG